rnacentral:lncRNA from 1 species
CCACCCUGGGAAACUUCCUUGUACUUCCACUCAGCAGGGGCCAUUCUCUGUCUCCAGAGGCCAGGGUUCCACAAACCUUCUGUUUUCACAUUCUCUCUACCACCUCCUUUAUUCUAGCCUGGGUGUUUAAAAGCAAUCAUUGUCAGAAUAUGCCAUUUAAUCUGUUUUCAUUUUUUAUUGUAAAAAGAGGAUGCAAGGGCUAGCAGUAAGAUUGUAGAUGAAUAAUGAAAGAAUUCCUCACAGCUGUUCAGGGAUAUAUAUUUUUCCUGCAAUGGAGCGAGACGGAUUCCCAUCGCAGCUCGGAGACUUGUUCCAUGAAGCCCCUCAUCUGUCAUGUUCUGAGGGGAAGGGAAGCUGACCCCGAUUUCAGUGCCUACCCCACCACGGCUCAGUACAUCAGGGAAGGGGCUGCUGGACGGUUGGCUGUCACUCCACCUCUCCCUUCUGGUUUUCUGUUUGCUUGAGGAGAGAAACUAUGCACCCCCACCUCACCCUUUAGAUGUAUUUUCGUAUUGCCAGCCUCAUUCCUAAAAGGAUUUGAAAUGUCUGACAAAAAUAUGAAUGGUACAGCAAGGUAGAUACUAAGGAGGAACACCAGGCCGAGGAAAUAAAAGCAGGAAAAAUAAGAUAGCCUCGUGAGGC